CGGCCGCGCCUUGUAAGCGCUAAGCCGGGAGGAGGGCGCAGGCAGGGCGCACAGCUCUGAGCGCGACCCUACCCGGCUCGGGCCCGCAGCAGCCCCGACUGUCCGAGAGCCUCUCCGCAAGCAAGGCUCUGCGCCGCCCUCUGAGCCCACCUCCUGGCCACAACGCUGCCUGCGCUUCUCCAGCCCAGGCCGGAAGCCCUAUGCUGCCUCCCGAAGCCGGACUUUCUGGAAGCCCAUCUUCGUAUGCUCACCAGCCCACCCUCCUACGCUGGUCAGAGUGAGAUUGCUAACCUCAAGACCCCAUUCAAUGCCAGCUUUCAACUACUGCUGAAGACCAAUGUAGGUCCUGGAAUAGAAGAACUGCAGAGUAUCCCUAAGGUCUCCUCUUCAUCUGGCAUGUGUGUUCACAGAAGGUACAGUGUGCGAGAACACACUUAGGAAAUUUUAGGAACGCUAAUCACAGUACUGGAGGAAUAAAGAUGUGUCGAAGGAAUGGAUGGAAUGCAUGAACACAUACACCUUGUUGUCCAGAUGCAGACAAAAGCUACCAUGUCCGCUUGGAGUGACACCCAGACACGCACAGAGAUGUACAGGAAGCCAAGGAGAGUGGGAUCCACCAGAGUACAGUACAAGUACAGAGUACAGUGCAAGAUGCCCAGUGGCCCUGGAGAAAAACCUUCGUUGACUCUUCUGUAUGGAAAGUUUCUGAAGAAAGGGCCAAGGAAUGAUCUGCCCCAGAGGCUGCCUUUAGGCUCCCAUACCUGCUCUGUUUGGAGACACCCAGAAGAGGCCAGUACAGCAAAGACUCUUUUUGGUUUGGUUAUUUCUGUUGCUUGUUGUCUUUUUUUCAUCCUUUGCCUGGGAAAUUAUGCUCUGGAAUAGGGCUUGAGUAGACAGCACAGGCCUCCAGUAGAUAACAAGAGAUUCUCAAUCUCCAAUGAGGACAUUCCGUUCUAAGGAAGCUUCCAGAUAGGGGAAAGUCCUGUUUUGUCCCCCUUUUCUCCUCUGAGAUCUGAAAAAAUAGAAAGAAAAAAAAAAAAGAAAAACAAAACAAAUAUAAAAACUAUAGCCCAAUCCCAUGUACAUCAAAUAAAUCCACAAGGAAUAUGCUAGAUCAAGCUAAAUUAUGUAUUUAACUCAUUUUCUUUUGUGAGAUACUGAGAAGUCUUCAACUUCCUCUAUUCCAGGCAGGGAUCGAGGACCUGGCCUGGCAGAGGUUCCACCACCAGGGUUUCCCACAGUGGUUCUGGGACUAGGCGUAAGGUGUCCUGACUUGUUUUCUCUGUCACCUCUUCUGGGGAACUGGGGAACUGUCCCAGACAAUGGCUGCCCCAGUUCCCUCUAGAAGAGACAGCCCCCACCCCCAGAACCCGUUGCCCUCCAACCUCACCUCAUUUUCUCUUGAGCUCAUUCUCCGAGCUCUUAAAGUAGUAGGUGUGAGUCUUGGACCAUUUCUUUAAAAGAAACAACUAAGGAAAGGGAGGGAGGGAAGGAGGGAGGAGGGGAGCGGGAAGGAGAGCUACCUCCUAGACUAACGCGUCCAGGAACCACUCUCUAAGGAGCAAAAGAGAGCCUGUGUUGUAAAGUAGAAGUGAUCCCCCGACUUUGCUGCAGGGCGCCUUGCAACAGAUGUAACUGUCCACUGAAGAGACAGAGGGUGGGCAUGGGGAAGAUUUUUUUUCCUCCCUUUUGUGAACAGCUCUUACACUUUUCCAAGACACAUUGAGUUCCUGGACAUUUUUGUGAAUUUGUUCUUGAUUGUGUUUUGAACAAUAAACUGUGAAAAUCAA
ensembl:processed_transcript Six3os1 SIX homeobox 3, opposite strand 1